CUGAAGGGACUGGCGAAGCCUGCGCGUCCCUGGUGGAAGAGCAAGACGCCUACAAUUCAAAGGCACGCGAGGGAAAUCAGAGACGACUUGUAUCUGGAGGUACUAACAGUUCUAGAGGAGGCAGGUUAGCUCUCUAACCUAGAUGGCUCUGCGCCUCCGCCCGACCCCUCCCUGCGCGUCCGCCCUUCGCCUGAGCCCGCCCGCGCCCCGCCGCCCUGUCCCGCCGGCCCCGCCCCAGGCUUCGCCCCCGCCUCGCCGCAGCCCCUGAGCUGCCGGGUGCUGCAGACUGGCGUUCCUGGACCCCCGAGCGCACAGCCACACGAUGGCUUAUUCAGAGGAGCAAAGAGGCGUCCCCUGUGGUUUUAUGCGCCAGAAUUCUGGCAACUCCAUUUCCUUGGACUUUGAGCCCGAUACAGACUACCGGUUUGUGGAGCAGUUGGAAGAGCGAUACAAAUGUGCCUUCUGCCACUCGGUGCUUCACAACCCCCACCAGACAGGCUGUGGGCACCGCUUCUGCCAGCACUGCAUUCUGUCGCUGAGAGAAUUAAACGCAGUGCCGAUCUGCCCUGUAGAUAAGGAGGUCAUCAAAUCCCAGGAGGUGUUUAAAGACAAUUGCUGCAAAAGGGAAGUCCUCAAUUUAUACGUAUAUUGCAACAAUGCUCCUGGAUGUAAUGCCAAGAUUAUUCUGGGACGAUACCAGGACCAUCUUCAGCAGUGCUUAUAUCAAGCUGUGCAGUGUUCUAAUGAAAACUGUUGGGAACGAGUCCUGCGGAAAGAUCUGAAAGAGCAUUUGAGUGCAUACUGUCAGUUUCGAGAGGAAAAAUGCCUUUAUUGUAAAAAGGAUGUGGUAGUCAUUAAUCUACAGAAGCACGAAGAAAACUUGUGUCCUGAGUACCCAGUAUCUUGUCCCAACAAGUGUUUGCAGAUUAUUCCAAGAACUGAGGUGGAUGAACACCUUGCCGUAUGUCCUGAAGCCGAACAAGACUGUCCUUUUCAGCACUAUGGCUGUACUAUAAAGGCUAAGCGGGGUAGCCUGCAGGACCACGAGCAUUCUGCCUUGCGGGACCACAUGCUUUUGGUUUUAGAAAAGAACAUCCAGUUAGAAGAACAGAUUUCUGACUUACAUAAGAGCCUAGAACAGAAAGAAAGUAAAAUCCAGCAGCUAGCAGAAACUGUAAAGAAAUUCGAAAAAGAGUUCAAGCAGUUUUCACAAUUGUUUGGCAAAAAUGGAAGCUUCUUCUCAAACAUCCAGGUUCUUGUCAGUCACAUUGACAAAUCUGCUUGGCUAGAAGCUCAAGUGCAUCAGUUAUUACAAAUGGUUAACCAGCAACAAAAUAAAUUUGACCUGAAGCCUUUGACAGAAGCAAUUGAUAUAGUGAAACAGAAAAUUACCCUGCUAGAACACAAUGAUAGAAGAUUAGUUGUUUUAGAAGGAGAGAGUAACAAACAUGAUGAACAUAUUAAUAUUCAUAAAGCACAGCUGAAUAAAAAUGAAGAGCGGUUUAAACUGCUAGAGGGUGCCUGCUAUAAUGGAAAGCUCAUUUGGAAGGUGACAGAUUACAAGAUGAAGAAGAGGGAGGCAGUGGAUGGGCACACAGUGUCCAUCUUCAGCCAGUCCUUCUACACCAGCCGCUGUGGCUACCGCCUCUGCGCCAGGGCCUACCUGAAUGGGGAUGGGUCUGGGAAGGGAACACACCUGUCCCUGUACUUUGUGGUGAUGCGAGGCGAGUUUGACUCACUGUUGCAGUGGCCAUUCAGGCAGAGGGUGACUCUGAUGCUUUUGGACCAGAGUGGCAAAAAGAACCACAUUAUGGAGACCUUCAAAGCAGACCCCAACAGCAGCAGCUUUAAAAGACCUGAUGGGGAGAUGAACAUUGCAUCUGGCUGUCCCCGAUUUGUGGCUCAUUCCAUUUUGGAGAAUGCCAAGAACACCUACAUUAAAGAUGAUACCCUGUUCUUGAAAGUAGCUGUGGAUUUAACUGACCUGGAAGAUCUCUAGUCACUGUUGACGGGCGCCCAAGCAUGUGACCCAGACCCCACCAAGCAGACACAGUCAAUGCAAAACUUCAACUAGAAGGUAAGAUGAAAAAAGAAACCUGCCCACCCUGGUGGUGACCACCAGUAUUUGUGGAAGUUGCAGUUUUGGUGUCAAGUGGUGGCAGCAGCAAUGGAUUUUCACUAGAUCCUCUACUGUGUCUGGGUACUGUGGCAUCAACAUUUGGCCUCUGGCUCUCCUGGACAUUCUAAAAUUGAAGCUUUCAACUCAAGAUUCUACAAAAAGAACAACAAAACCCAAAGAAAUAAGAAGUUAAUGAAGGCAUACACUGAUGAAAGAAAAGUAACUUUUAAGACAGUUCAUCAAUAAAAUCAAAAGUUGGCUUGAUAAACCUAAUCAAGAAAAGAAGAGACUCCAAUGGCAUGUAUAAAAAUGAAUGAGAAUAUGAAUUUUUUAAAGGUUAGAAAAUAUAGAUAACAUGUAUACUUUUCUAGAAAAAAGAUUUCUCAGGAAGCAAAAGAAAUGCUACAUGUCAAGAACUAUGGAAACUAUAUUACAAAAACUAAAACAUCACACCCAGAUAGCUUUAAAGACAAGUCAUCUAAACCUAAGGAAUGAAUUAUUCACAUGCUAUGUCUAUUCCAGGUUAUAUAAAAAGGAGUUGGCUGGGCUUGAAGGCUCAUACCUACUAUCCCAGCACUUUGGGAAGUUAAGGUGGGAGGAUUGCUCGAGCCCAGGGGUUUGAGAACAGCUUAAACAAGCAACAUAGUGAGCUCCCCUCUCUAUAAAAACAUUUAAAAAUUCAGAAUGUUACAGAAAGGAGAGAAUGAGGAGGCUGCAUCUGGCUUCCACUUUCACAGCCAUCGCAAUACAUUGAGCUCCAUAGAGACAGGCCCGGAGCAAGUGAGAGCCGGAUGGGCACUGGGCGACUCUGUGCCUCGCUGAGGAAAAAUAACUAAACAUGGGCAAACGAGAUCCUAAGAAGCCGAGAGGCAAAAUGUCAUCAUAUGCAUUCUUUGUGCAAACUUGUCGGGAGGAGCACAAGAAGAAGCACCCAGAUGCUUCAGUCAACUUCUCAGAGUUUUCUAAGAAGUGCUCAGAGAGAGGGAUGGCCAUGUCUGCUAAAGAGAAAGGAAAAUCUGAAGAUACGGUAAAGGCAAACAAGGCCCGUUAUGAAAGAGAAAUGAAAACCGAUAUCCCUCCUAAAGGGGAAACCAAAAAGAAGUUCAAGGAUCCCAGUGCACCCAAGAGGCCUCCUUCGGCCUUCUUCUUGUUCUGUUCUGAGUAUCACCCAAAAAUCAAAGGAGAACAUCCUGGCCUAUCCACUGAUGUUGCAAAGAAGCUGGGGGAGAUGUGGAAUAACACUGCUGUGGAGUACAAGCAGCCUGAUGAAAAGAAGGCUGCAAAGCUGAAGGAAAAAUAUGAAAAGGAUAUUGGUGCAGACUGAGCAACAGGAAAGCCUGAUGCAGCAUAAAAGGUAGUUGUCAAGGCUGAAAAAGACAAGAAAAAGAAGAAAGAGGAGGAAGAUGAGGACGAUGAAGAUGAUAAUGAAUAACUUGGUUCUAGCGCAGUUUUUGUCUAUAAAGGAUUUAACCCCCGUACACAACUCCUUUUAAAGAAAAAAUUUGAAAUGUAAGGCUGUGUAAGAUCUGUUUUAAACUGUACAGUGUCUUUUUUUGUAUAGUUAACACACUACCGAAUGUGUCUUUAGAUAGCCCUGUCCUGGUGGUAUUUUCAGUAGCCACUAACCUUGCCUGGUACAGCAUGGGGGUUGUAAAUUGGCAUGGAAAUUUAAAGCAGGUUCUUGUUGGUGCACAGAACAAAUUGGUUAUAUAUGGGGAUGAUAGUUUUUUCAUCUUCAGUUGUCUCUGAUCCAGCUUAUAAGAAAUAAUUGCUGUUCUGUGAAUGGAAUACCACUCUGUAAUUGCAAAAACAAAGUUGCAGCUCUUUUGUUGACAUUCUGAAUGGUUCUAAGUAAAAUAUUCUUUUUUAUUAAAAAAAA